AUACAGAGGGUGCAAGCGUUAAUCGGAUUUACUGGGCGUAAAGCGCGCGUAGGCGGCUAAUUAAGUCAAAUGUGAAAUCCCCGAGCUUAACUUGGGAAUUGCAUUCGAUACUGGUUAGCUAGAGUGUGGGAGAGGAUGGUAGAAUUCCAGGUGUAGCGGUGAAAUGCGUAGAGAUCUGGAGGAAUACCGAUGGCGAAGGCAGCCAUCUGGCCUAACACUGACGCUGAGGUGCGAAAGCGUGGGGAGCAAACGGGAUUAGAAACACCAGUAGUCC
rnacentral:rRNA from 1 species